CCUACGGGAGGCAGCAGUGAGGAAUAUUGGUCAAUGGCCGUAAGGCUGAACCAGCCAAGUAGCGUGAGGGAAGACUGCCCUAUGGGUUGUAAACCUCUUUUAUGCGGGGAUAAAGGUGUCCACGUGUGGAUGUUUGCAGGUACCGCAUGAACAAGGACCGGCUAAUUCCGUGCCAGCAGCCGCGGUAAUACGGAAGGUCCGGGCGUUAUCCGGAUUGAUUGGGUUUAGAGGGAGCGUAGGCCGGUCUUUAAGCGUGCCGUGAACUUUUGUGGCUCAACCAUGAGAGUGCGGCUCGAACUGGCGACCUUGAGUGCGCGGAAGGCAGGCGGAAUUCGAGGUGUAGCGGUGAAAUGCUUAGAUAUCACGAAGAACCCCGAUUGCGAAGGCAGCCUGCCGCAGCGUUACUGACGCUGAGGCUCGAAAGCGCGGGUAUCGAACAGGAUUAGAUACCCCAGUAGUC
rnacentral:rRNA from 1 species